GACGAACGCUGGCGGUGUGCUUAACACAUGCGAGUCGAACGGAAAGGCCCUGCUUUUGUGGGGUGCUCGAGUGGCGAACGGGUGAGUAACACGUGAGUAACCUGCCCUUGACUUUAGGAUAACUUCAGGAAACUGGGGCUAAUACCGGAUAGGAGCUCCUGCUGCAUGGUGGGGGUUGGAAAGUUUCGGCGGUUGGGGAUGGACUCGCGGCUUAUCAGCUUGUUGGUGGGGUAGUGGCUUACCAAGGCUUUGACGGGUAGCCGGCCUGAGAGGGUGACCGGCCAAAUGGGAACUGGGUUACGGCCAGGAGUCCUACGGGGGGCAAAAGGGGGAAAUAUUGAACAAGGGGGGGAAGCCUGAUGAGGAAACGCGGGGUGGGGGAGGACGGCUUUCGGGUGGAAACCGCUUUCGCCUGUGACGAAGCGUGAGUGACGGUAAUGGGUAAAGAAGCACCGGCUAACUACGUG
rnacentral:rRNA from 1 species